UGAGCAAUCUGCCCUUCUCAUCGGAAUAAGCGUUGGAAACGACGUCUAAUGCCGAAUACGACCUCCUUUCACAUGAUCGGAGGUGGAAAGCUCCGGCGGAGAAGGAUGAGCUCGCGGCCUAUCAGCUAGUUGGUGUGGGUAACGGCCCACCAAGGCGACGACGGGUACG
rnacentral:rRNA from 1 species